ACGAACGCUGGCGGCGUGCUUAACCCCUGCCAGUCGAACGGAAAGGCCCUGCUUUUGUGGGGUGCUCGAGUGGCGAACGGGUGAGUAACACGUGAGUAACCUGCCCUUGACUUUGGGAUAACUUCAGGAAACUGGGGCUAAUACCGGAUAGGAGCUCCUGCUGCAUGGUGGGGGUUGGAAAGUUUCGGCGGUUGGGGAUGGACUCGCGGCUUAUCAGCUUGUUGGUGGGGUAGUGGCUUACCAAGGCUUUGACGGGUAGCCGGCCUGAGAGGGUGACCGGCCACAUUGGGACUGAGAUACGGCCCAGACUCCUACGGGGGGCAGCAGUGGGGAAUAUUGCACAAUGGGCGGAAGCCUGAUGCAGCAACGCCGCGUGCGGGAUGACGGCCUUCGGGUUGUAAACCGCUUUCGCCUGUGACGAAGCGUGAGUGACGGUAAUGGGUAAAGAAGCACCGGCUAACUACGUG
rnacentral:rRNA from 1 species